AUAAGAGUGAACCCGUCUCUGUGGCAAAAGAGUGGGAAGACCUUGCAGUAGCGGUGAAAGGCCAAACGAGUCUAGUGAUAGCUGGUUGCUCAACAAACGAAUCUCAGUUCGACUUUAGGUUCACCCCAUAUACUGAAACUCUACAUCAACCUAAAGACUACUCAACGAAGGUACAACUCCAUUGAGAAGGGAUACAACCCAAAUUAGAGAGAAAGAAACAACACCCAUCCCAGUAGGCCUUAAAGCCGCCACCAAUAACAAAAGCGUCAUAGCACUAAACAACAAAUACCAAAAAAACAGCCAACCUCCUAAUAAAACAUUGAGCCAAACUAUAACUAUAGCCGAACUAAUGCUAAAACUAGUAACAAGAAACCCUUCUCUCGGCACACCUGUAACCCAGAAAUAGAAAAACUACUGGACUUUAACAGACCAAAAUAGGCAUAACACAAUCUGUGCUGCCCACUGUUAAACCGACACCGGAGUGCCACCAAGACAGAUUAAAAGUUAUUUAAGGAACUCAGCAAAACUUGUCCCAACUGUUUACCAAAAACAUAGCCUUUAGCUAAUAUAAGUAUUAAGGUCCCGCCUGCCCAGUG
rnacentral:rRNA from 1 species